UCUUCCAGUGCGAUGCCAGUAGCACCCUCAACUGUGAAAAUAAAAAAUGUCUCCAGACAUCGCCACUUGUUUCCUGAGGGCUAAAUUACCAGUUGUUGUAAACUACUGUUUUACAUACUUUUUGGUUUUUUAAUCUCUAAAGAGAGGAGUUGUGAAAAGAUGUGUCUUUUCCAGCUCUGAUAUUCUCUGACCUGUCCAGCUAUGCUCACAAAAUUGAUGAGAAACUCUAUCUGUUCUUAUCAGAUGCAGAUAAGAAACGUGGGAAGCCACAAGAAAGCCAAGUAGCCUGGGAAAAAGUGGUCAUUGAGCCAUGAGAAAAAAUUAACAUUUGAUCCUGUUGGUGCCACCUGAAGGCAGAGAUGGCUGAGGACCCCCGAGUAAUGUAUGAAUGAAAGACUUAAGAAUACAUCUGACCCAGGCAGCCUGGGUUCAACUCUCCAUGUGAGAAUACCAAGCUUGGCUGGGCACAGUGCCUCACAUCUGUAAUCCCAACACUUUGAGAGGCUGCGGCAGGAAGAUUACUUGAAGCCAAGAGCUGGCGAACAACCUGGGCAACAAAGUGAGACUUCAUCUCUACAAUUUUUUUUUUAAUUAGCCGGAUGCAGUGGUGCACACCUGUAGUCUCAGCUUCUCAGGAGGCUGAAGUAGGAUUGCUUGAGCCUGUGAGCCCAGAAGUUUGAGACGGCAGUGAGUUACGAUCACACCACUGCAUUAGAGCCUGAAUGGCAGAGUGAGAGCCUAUCUCUAAACUAAGUAAACAAAUACAGACAUACAUACAUAAAGUAAGAAUUAUUAUAAUAACAAGAAUACAAGCAGUCUGCAAUUUGUGUUUAUGGUGCUAACUGCAACUCAUGUAUGUGGUACCCUCAUUUUUCACAA
rnacentral:lncRNA from 1 species